rnacentral:ncRNA from 1 species
GCGAUGGUUCCGCCAAACGCAUAGGCGGCGGAUGAAAUGGGAAUACGGUGAGGUGUGUUUCUAGAACGCCAAAGCCGUGGCUGCCCCCGCAACUGUGAGCGGCGAGCGACACCCGACUAACCACUGGCCGUUUCGGCCGGGAAGGUGGGUGGACCGGUGACCCGCAAGCCAGGAGACCUGCCAUUGCA